GAUGAACGCUAGCGGCAGGCCUAACACAUGCAAGUCGAGGGGUAGAAGGAGCUUGCUCCUUUGAGACCGGCGCACGGUGCGUAACGCGUAUGCAAUCUACCUUUUACAGAGGGAUAGCCCAGAGAAAUUUGGAUUAAUACCUCAUAGUAUAUAUCAUUCGCAUGUUUGGUAUAUUAAAGUUCCAACGGUAAAAGAUGAGCAUGCGUCCCAUUAGUUAGUUGGUAAGGUAACGGCUUACCAAGACGAUGAUGGGUAGGGGUCCUGAGAGGGAGAUCCCCCACACUGGUACUGAGACACGGACCAGACUCCUACGGGAGGCAGCAGUGAGGAAUAUUGGUCAAUGGACGCAAGUCUGAACCAGCCAUGCCGCGUGCAGGAAGACGGUCCUAUGGAUUGUAAACUGCUUUUGUACGGGAAGAAACACUCCUACGUGUAGGAGCCUGACGGUACCGUAAGAAUAAGGAUCGGCUAACUCCGUGCCAGCCGCCGCCGUAAGAC
rnacentral:rRNA from 1 species